GACAGAGGGUGCAAACGUUGUUCGGAAUUACUGGGCGUAAAGCGCGUGUAGGCAGCUCGGAAAGUCGGGUGUGAAAGCCCUGGGCUUAACCUAGGAAGUGCACUCGAAACUUCCGAGCUUGAGUUCUGGAGAGGAAGGCGGAAUUCUCGGUGUAGAGGUGAAAUUCGUAGAUAUCGAGAGGAACACCGGUGGCGAAGGCGGCCUUCUGGACAGUGACUGACGCUGAGACGGCGAAAAGCGUGGG
rnacentral:rRNA from 1 species